rnacentral:lncRNA from 1 species
AACUAAUAUGCUCUUUAUUUAUUUGCAAACACAACUGAAAACAAGACAACACAAUUAAUUGGGACAAAAAAGCCUUGUGCAAAUACACUGAAAUUCUUCCCCUGUUUUGGUCACAUAGUUUAACACGAGAAAGAAAAACCUAGCGAAUUAGUUUUCUCCAACAUGUUAUAAAGGACACAGCCUAUUUAUCAGUCACAUAUCAGAUGUCCCCAUGGAAUGUGACAAUUUGCAAAAUAUACAAAAAUAUUAUUACCCAGGGAGAGUUGCAGAUGUAACGAACAGGGAAGAACUUCUGACUAAAAAGGAACAUGACUUAUUUUGUUCCAAUUGCUUAAAAGAAUUCAUAAAUACAAUGACUAGGCUAGAAACAAUGUUCCAGAGGACUGUCCUCACACAAUGGCGUGUGUACAGCUUGGACAGACUUUCUGUUGGCCUCAUUCCUUGAAGAUCUGUCAUCUGUGUUGGUGAAGAGUCACAGCCUUCCGAUUUGUGUGCAGACUGGGUUGUUAGGCUACUUAUUCACAGGUUCUUCCUCUUACUGUGGCUAGGUUGCGUGUCUCAGGCCAAGUGCAGAAAGUGUCUGGAGCUAGCUUGUUCCUACUGUGCUGUCCAUUAGUUUUAGGCCUUUCUUUAUCCCAUCAACAGCUUCCACUGGACGUGAGCAGAUCAGUGGAAUCAAAUGUCUCCCCUGCUAACAGCUGGAUCAAGGUAGCACAGAUUUCUCUUUGACCUUUCUUCAAUGGAGUUGUUUCAGGCAGAAACUAGUGUUCUCAGAAUUGCUUUCCCAUUUAAAACAGAGAAUUACUCUUCUAAAACUCAAUUUCACUUUUAACAAAUGUUAUUUGUCUUUUGUAUGCUUACACUUGGGAUACCAUCACACUUGUGCAGUGGACCAUGCAAAUGGCUUGAUAUUUCAGAUGCUCUCGAGUACUGUUUUGUGCUCCUCUGGAGGCUAGAAAUCCUGGGCUGCUGACAGGCACUUUACACAAACAUAGCCAAAACCAAGUUCCUGUGCUGUCUAGCAAGCUUGACACCCUCAAUUAAUCUACUUGCUGCUGCUGAAGGUAGUCUUACCUCUCCUCAUCUGCUCCCACCCAUGGAGCCCUGUCCCCCACUGGGUCUAGUUUGACUCAGUUUAGCUUUCAAUGUGGGGUGCUGUACUUUUGCAGGGUUUGUUUUCUGGCAGUUGCAUAAGUUGAUUAAAUUACGGCGAGGUCAAUGAGCUAUUAGGUUGGCCCAGCUUCUUCUGGUCAAACCACACCUACUGCUCAAGCCUGCUCCUGCCUUGCAAAAUUCGUGCUCCUGUAGCCACUCAUCUCAGAACAGGGAGGUACCUUCUGGGGCAUGACAACACAGGCCAGCCAACACCUUUCUCUGACCACUGCUGCUUCCUUGCUGACUGUACACCCAGGCAAGGGCUCUUUUCUCUGUUGAUGUCUAAAGGGAUGACCUCAAGUCAUGCAACUAUCUCCAACUACUAUGUGCUGACUCAAGAAUCCUCACAAGGCAACCUCCUGUCAGCCCUGCCCGCGGCUCUGUGUAAAGAUCUCUCAAUAUUCUUAAGCAAAUGGCCCCACAUGCGACACAGAAGUUAAGAGUGUGAUGUCUAGGACUAGUAGCUAGAUUCUUUUUCCUGUUUGCUAACGCUUAAACUAAUCGGAAAGGAAGGCCAAAGUUCAGAAUGAAGUUGAACUCUAGUAAGUUGAAUAGGUCUGAAUGAGAACCUUGUAAUUAUCUUGGUUUUCGUAGUACCAAGUAAAUGUUUGGCACUUAGAAACCAAAACAUAUGGCCUUCCAGAUUCUACUGAAAUUUUAAACAGAUGACUAAAGGAAAAGAGGUACCUCAAAUUCAAAAGGAUACCUCCUCUGAAUUGGUGAUUUUUGUGUCCUAGUUACUUUUUCAGGCAUGAGAUUUACAGAUAAUUCUGCUUGUUGUCCCUCUAGUAAAGACUGUGUUUUAAGGUAGCUGUUGAACCGAAUCCCUACUGAUUCUUUGAUGUAAUUUUAAAUCCAGCCUUUCAAACUAAAGCAACCCCAGCCUGAGUUUUCCCAGUGGUACAGAACACACCACAGCAAAACACGUUCCUGCCCAGCUUGUCCAGUUGCAUUCAAGGGUUCAGCAUGGCAAAAUCACCACUUUACAGAGGAACAGAGUACCACAGAUCUGAAAACUGAACUGGACCACAUACCAAUGACCCUUAAAUACUAUGUGCCUUUAAAUAAAUGCAGGGUCACCAAUACAAGGGACUAUUAAAGACAGAAAUAUGUCAUAACUCGUAAGUUUCAAAGGAAUAUACAGUCAGAAAAGACAUUUCCUACUAUAGCAGGCACUGUACUGGAUGGAAAUUGCAUUAGGUGGUGCACUUCCUUCUGAAUUUCCACUGAACUGAUAUUCCCCCAGACUGAGCUCCAAAACUUUAACCAAUGAGACGUUAAGUUGCAGUGGCCAAAUGCAGCAUUGAGCUUACAAUCAAACCACAGGGUAGGUGGUAAGUUUUAGCGUUCUUUCCAAUUUGCAUCUUAUUUGAUCUUUCAAAACCUUCCCUGAAGUUUCAUCAGAAGCUGGUAGGCACCACUUCCUCUCCUGAAGUGUACUGCUGUUUGCUGCAAAGGCUGCGUCUCAGUUCUGAAAUAGCUGCAUUUUGGUAUCUGGUGGAGGUAUUCUCAUUAUGUACAGACCAGUGUUGCUUUCUCUAGACUUACAGAGCUGGAAUUACCUACAGAGCUGGAAUUACAACACAACAUUUUCAGCACAUGGAUUAAGAACUCAUCCCAGGACCUGCAGUUUACCACAAGCAGCCUAGAAGCAGGAGGCAAGCGCUUGAAGAGGCAAGGCUCUUCAAUAAUACACUGGUCAUGGCUAGUUUAUUCAGAUCACAUACUGAUACAGUACAUCUGGUGGGUAAUCUCAAGAAAGAGGAAACAAUGGCUCCUCUAAUUGGCCAUGGAGCUCACUCUGUGCGGGGGUAUCGGCACAGUGCUAACUCAGCAGGAAGACCACCAUCUAACAGAACUUCCAUCCAGUACGGAUACCAUGAUCUCCCUGAUGCACCCAGGAUUUUUCUAGUGAAUGUCCUGAUGCUAGUAUAUUGAUAAGCAAAAAGCUAAAAAUCAUGUCUUCUCUCAUUUCCUUUCUUCUUGCUUUUCACGUGUUCUUAACCUCCACUGGGAAGCAGUAAAUAAACACACUUCAUUUUUAUUACCCCUCAGUUUUCUAUUUAACCUUUCUGACUCUCUUCUUUACACCCCUUUUUCAUAAUAGCAUACCCUUUUUAAAACUUUCCUGUAAUUUACCUCAUUUUAAUAGUCUGUUAAUGUUCUGUUACUGUUUUGCUUCUUCUUUAUCUUAGUAUUACCAUCACAGCGCCCCUCCAAUUUUAGGUACUUGACUGGAAAAACUUGGUCCUCAACUAGUGUUGUAAAGCCUAUUUACAUCCGAGUUUCACUGCACUGAAAAACUCUUACACAUAAAAAACCAAUCCCAUUAUUGAUAUUUGAAAUCCUUCUGUCCUAAAGCAUUGCAGUUACACCUGCAAUCAGAUCCAUACAGGUAAACUACUCUACUGACAACAUCUCACUGAAGUCACAGAGCUCUCAAUGUACAUCCAAUCGUAGAAGAAAGACCAACUUUCAUAUUCAGUUUCAGUCCCAGACCACAUAACCUUCCUAAAGCAAAACAUCAUUGAUAAUGUUUGGCAAUACCCUGCUAAUUAGCAAGGGGCGGCUUUUUAAUAUCAUUCCCAUCUUCCCAGCAUAUGAACAGGAACUAUUUCUCUUACAUAUCAAUCUUCAGAUGAACCACUUCCUAGGUUAUGAGAAGCCCAAAGUCAUCUUUAGUCGUUCUGGUUCCAGGAUGACAGGCUAUCAUACAUUUCACUAACAACUUCUGAUACUGCAAAACAAAUUGCAUUUUUUUACACCAGAUGUAUUUUUGGAUUCUACAGUAGUCUUGUGGAUCAUGUAAUCUCACAUUUUAAUUUCUCCUCUAAAAUUUGCUGAUGUAUAUAUACUGGCUCAUUUUAAAGGUUGUGUAUCUUAGCUUUUACUGGCUAAAAAUUAUUUCUGACAUUAUAUUAUGCCAAAAUAAACGUGACUGCUGCUCCUAGUUACAGCUUCUACUUCUCAGAGUGUUGUUAUUAAAGUAAAAAAUAUGAAUUGCAAGAAAAAGCUUCUUCUCCUUUAUGCCUAUGUUAUUUAACUUGCCAACAACUGAUUCUAAAGUAGAAUCACAAAAGACUAUGUAAAGAAAUACAGAUGUUUUAAAAACAGAAGUUGGGGUUGGCUUUUUUUUUAAUUUAAAGAACUACCCUGGAAAAAAAUGAAUUGUGACGAACAGCUUUUGGAUUAAUUUACAACUUACUAUUACAUCACACUCUAAACAUACCAGCAAAAGUAAAUGGGCUUAAAAUAAGACUACACAUCACACAGUAAGAGCAAUCUUCCACUGCCAGGGAAGAUUCUGCAGUCUUCCCCUAUCAUAACUUCCUGAUACUAAACGUACAUUUUCUCAGUGUGCUUUUUCCUGUUCUGCAAUAGUUUCUAGGUUAAGCCUGGGCAGUUACUGCAAGGUCACAGUGCUGGACUCAUUAAAAAGCACUGUUUACUCUCUGCUUGGAGAGGCUGUUGAAAAUCCAGACCAUAUUUUUACGUUUCCUAGUUACCAACUUCUCCAUGCGUUUAUCUGUGUAGCUUGUGACUUCAAAUACUCAGCACAACUAUGGACAGAUGAAACUGUGCUCACUGUAUCUCUCGGGUAAUUCUCUGUGAUGACUACGCUUGAGUUCUUCACUCCAAUGCUUUUCAGCCUUACUCACACAGUCCCUGGAACACCACAUGAAAGGUGACUAAGAAAAAUUAAUUCUUCAGGGAAGUUUACAAGCCAAGGGUCAAGUUCACUGCCUAUAAGUGUAUGCACUGUCCUACCACCCCACACGUGCACUUGGAUGUGAGGGAAGGCCAAGCUGAAGUUGUUCCCCUUUACAGGAACCCUUCACAAGCUACAUGGUGUAACACAGAAACAGGCCCCACCAAUAAUCAUUUCUGUAUAAUCAUAUAGUCAUAUAAUGCUUUAAACAUAUUUCCUGCCUUAGUUUAGCUUCCGAGUGCUCUCAAUUUCCUUUGUGUUGCACAACGUGAAGGACACCACAGCAAGCCGGCGCUCAGGGGCAUCUAUUAAUUCUCCUUAACAUGACUAAAGUAAAACCUGCUGGCAUAAACGCUCGCUGUGUGCUUAGGCUUGGCUCCCCAGCUCAGAGCACAGCACCUUGUUACCGCCGACACUCCUGGCACGUUAAAAUCUUACUCGCGGCCUUAUCCUCCAUGGGUUUUAUUUUACAGAAGAGGCACAGAAGAUUUCAGGUCCAGCCUGCCCGGGUCAACCGGGUGCGAGCCCCCCACGGCCACAAAGCUUAUGCAACGGCCCGCAGGUCAGCCAUCGAGGUGUGGCUGCCGGGCCGCGCCUCCACCGGCCACAGGCCGCCGCUGACCCGGCCCCCCGUCCCGCAGGAGGGGGCGGCCGGUCCUGCGGGCUCCGACACCGGGCACUGCGCGCUGCCGCCGCCAGGCAGGGCCUGCCCGGGCGGGCCGGCUCCCCUGGGACGGCGCACCGACAUCUUAGCGCCGGCGGGGACAAAGCGCGGCGGCAGCGGCGGGGCGCAGCUCGGCCGGCUCCCGGGAGCCGCGGCCGCCACCAGCCCUGAGUGACAACCCCGCCAGCAGAUUUCAAACGAGCGCGGCUCCAGCCCGGCGCCUCCCGGGCACACGCUCACCGCGCCGCCUGCGCGGCGGGGGGGGUGGUGGUGGUGAUGCGGGGAGGGGGGGCGCAGCGCCGCCGCGCAGCUGUGCCUCUGCGCUGACCCCUGCGGCGCGGGCAGGCGGCCAGGCCCCGCGGGCCGCGUCCCCCCCCCCUCCCCGGCGCGGCGGCAGAGGGGAGCGCGGCAGCGGCGCUGCCUCCCCGCGGCGCAGGGGCCGCGCGGGCCCGGUGGCGGAGCAGGCCGCUAGCUCUCGGCGAGUCCCGCUCAUUGUUCCUCGCACAAGCCCUGGCAAACAGGAA